rnacentral:rRNA from 1 species
GACGAACGCUGGCGGCGCGCCUAACACAUGCAAGUCGAACGGAGCUGAGAGAAGCUUGCUUUUCUUAGCUUAGUGGCGAACGGGUGAGUGACGCGUGAGUAACCUGCCCUGGAGUGGGGGACAACAGUUGGAAACGACUGCUAAUACCGCAUAAGCCCACGAUCCGGCAUCGGAUUGAGGGAAAAGGAUUUAUUCGCUUCAGGAUGGACUCGCGUCCAAUUAGCUAGUUGGUGAGGUAACGGCCCACCAAGGCGACGAUUGGUAGCCGGACUGAGAGGUUGAACGGCCACAUUGGGACUGAGACACGGCCCAGACUCCUACGGGAGGCAGCAGUGGGGGAUAUUGCACAAUGGGGGAAACCCUGAUGCAGCGACGCCGCGUGGAGGAAGAAGGUUUUCGGAUUGUAAACUCCUGUCGUGAGGGACGAUAAUGACGGUACCUAACAAGAAAGCACCGGCUAACUACGUG